rnacentral:rRNA from 1 species
AUAGCGUAUAUUAAAGUUGUUGCAGUUAAAAAGCUCGUAGUUGAACUUCAGGCCUGGCUGGGCGGUCCGCCUCACGGCGUGUACUGUCUGGCUGGGUCUUACCUCUUGGUGAGCCGGCGUGCCCUUUAUUGGUGUGCGUCGGGGAACCAGGACUUUUACCUUGAGAAAAUUAGAGUGUUCAAAGCAGGCCUGUGCCUGAAUACAUUAGCAUGGAAUAAUAAAAUAGGACGUGCGGUUCUAUUUUGUUGGUUUCUAGAGUCGCCGUAAUGAUUAAUAGGGAUAGUUGGGGGCAUUGGUAUUGAGUCGCUAGAGGUGAAAUUCUUGGACCGUUGCAAGACGAACAACAG